UACAGAGGUGGCAAGCGUUGUUCGGAAUUACUGGGCGUAAAGGGCGCGUAGGCGGCCUACUAAGUCAGACGUGAAAUCCCCAGGCUUAACUUGGGAACUGCGUCUGAUACUGGAAGGCUUGAGUGCGGGAGAGGGAUGUGGAAUUCCAGGUGUAGCGGUGAAAUGCGUAGAUAUCUGGAGGAACACCGGGGGCGAAGGCGGCAUCCUGGACCGACACUGACGCUGAGGCGCGAAAGCUAGGGGAGCAAACGGG
rnacentral:rRNA from 1 species